rnacentral:lncRNA from 1 species
GCCCCCUCGCCAGGCAGAUAAUUGCUACAUAUUCUUUUGUACUGCUGCCACCACCUCCACCAUCGGGCGUUUUCCCAAACAAUUGCCUGAGCAGCCUCAGAGCAAUCCAUCUCCCUGCCGACACUGCUUUGGUAUUAGGGGUCUCCCAGGAGCAGAUUCUGUGGCAAAUAUGAUGCACAGAGCCAAAUCCAGGAAGAUCUAGACCCUUGGAGGCCCAGACCAAGUCUACCAUGACAGGCUCCUGCCAUCAGCUCCAUAUCGAGCAACGGCAUCUGGAAGCUCGUUUGGGGUAGGAACUGCUCCCUUUCACCACCCCUGCUGGCCUUCUGUGGGCAGAGAGAUGCCCUGUGACUGCUCCUGUCUGAUCACAUUCCCCACUCUCCUCACCCUGAAGCUAACAUCUCUGCACUGGCUGGAGUAAGUCCAAAGGUUGUUAAACACUGGUCUGGCCACUGGCUUUUGCUGCAGGAGUGAAAGUGGAUGAAUGCCUUGUGCCCAUCCAUACCUUGCUAUGAGCUCCUUCUUCUGACAUCCUACCUUGGGGCUAAGCCUCCUCCCCUGGCUGUGGUGCUACAGAUAUAAAUCACCUUCUGUAGCUGGGUAACUCUUUACUUUAAGGGCCUGUUCCUUUAAGCAAAAGCAGUAGGAGAG